rnacentral:lncRNA from 1 species
AUGCAGUGGCCUUCUGGCCCGUGGUGUCCCCAAGUGGUUCUGGAUGGCCCUGAGCUGCGCUGGGCCUUUUGGGUCUUAGGGCGGGGUGGGCUGGAGCCAGCAGGGUGCAGACGCAGGGCGUGUGCCCCACUCACCGGGGGCUCCUUCCCGAGACUUAAGCUUCUCUCUCUCCUCCCAGGUCUUGCCCUUCUUGCCGGCCACUUCGCCCCCAGCCGACGCCUGGAGCUUGAGGUGACUGAGCGCUCUCAGGCCAGCUCGGCCCUGGACCUGCUCGGCUCUGGACCUGCCCAUCUCUGUCAACGCACGAGGCCCCCGUGCCCCAGGUCAAGAAGUGGCGCCAAGGGGGGAGCUUCUGUCCGAGGCCAGCCUUCCUUCCGGCUGGACUUGGCCUGCACGAGCCACGGUCUGUGUCGCAGGGUGUCUGGAUGGAAGAGCAGCACUGGACCCCCUCUCCCUCUGCGCCGUGAGGACCCGCCGUUCCUGGCUCCCAGGCAGGUGCGCCUGCCCCCCUCCCAACCCCAGGCUCACCCUGCCCCCUUCUCUCCACCCGGCCGGGCGCCAGCCCUCGACCUGCUGCCAGCUGUCAACAUGCGACGCACACAGGGAGCAGCCGCGGCCGUGUUUGUCAGGACCGGACACCAGAGCUCCCUCUGCAGUCGUGGGUGAAGCCGAGCCCAGGAGAUCCCCUCGCCCCCGCCCUGACGGGGCCCCCUCCGAGCCUUGGUUUCCUCGUGUGAGGUGGGUUCACGGAUCCUGGCUUCACCAGGCCUUCAAGGACCAGGGAGCCAGCACACCUGGUGCCUGCCUGGAGGAGGCAGCCUGCUCGGAAAGAGUGUGGGAGGAGGCGUGGGUGUCAGAAAGCGUGGGGUGAGGCUCAGCUCUUGCACCAUCUUGCUGAGCAGAAAGCAGAGCCACCGGUCCUCCGCUCUGCCGGUCAUCAGCUGCGUGACCUCACGUAGGCCUUGCUAUCUGACUGGGUCUCAGGCACGGGCCCUGGGCCGCGUGUGUCUGUCCCCCGAGGGGCUGCAGUUCCGGCCCAGCCACCCUUUCCUGGGACCCUUUGGGGAGGAAAGAACAGCACUCCAGCCUGUCCUGAUGUGGGGAGAAGCCCGGGUCACCCUGGAUGGCAGGGCCAGGCCCACGGGCAGGGAGGCCCCACUGUCCAGCGGGGGAGGGAGCUGCACCUGGGGCACAGGUGCAUCCCGGGCCACCAGGAACCGGGGGAGGCUGCUGCCAGCGGGCAGGGCCAGGUGGGCACUGGAGCCCCUUUGGGACACAAAUUGGCCUGCAGCAAAUGACAUCCCCCAGUGUCACCUUGGGGCCGUCUUGGCCCCCCCCCGUGCAGAUGGGAGUGAUCCCACUGCUUGUGUCGCUUCCCCAAAGGCCGCGUCGCGCGUCUGCCCCCCCCCCCCCCCCCCC